rnacentral:rRNA from 1 species
UACGUAGGGUGCAAGCGUUGUCCGGAAUUAUUGGGCGUAAAGAGCUCGUAGGCGGUCUGUCGCGUCGGCUGUGAAAUCCCGAGGCUCAACCUCGGGUCUGCAGUCGAUACGGGCAAACUAGAGUAUUGCAGGGGAGACUGGAAUUCCUGGUGUAGCGGUGAAAUGCGCAGAUAUCAGGAGGAACACCGGUGGCGAAGGCGGGUCUCUGGGCAAUAACUGACGCUGAGGAGCGAAAGCGUGGGGGGCGAACAGG